CAGUCGCCGCGGUAAUACGAAGGGGGCUAGCGUUGCCCGGAAUGACUGGGCGUAAAGGGCGCGUAGGCGGAUUGUUUAGUUAGGUGUGAAAUUCCUGGGCUUAACCUGGGGACUGCGCUUAAUACAGGCAGUCUAGAGUGAGGAAGAGGGUUGUGGAAUUCCCAGUGUAGAGGUGAAAUUCGUAGAUAUUGGGAAGAACACCGGUGGCGAAGGCGGCAACCUGGUCCUUGACUGACGCUGAGGCGCGAAAGCGUGGGGAGCAAACAGGAUUAGAUACCCGAGUAGUCCCUGUCUCUUAUAC
rnacentral:rRNA from 1 species